UUCGGGGUGAUUCUGGUGGAAUGAGCGGCGGACGGGUGAGUAACACGUGGGCAACCUGCCUGUAAGACUGGGAUAACUUCGGGAAACCGGAGCUAAUACCGGAUAGUAUUUCCUUUCUCCUGAUUGGAAAUGGAAAGACGGUUUCGGCUGUCACUUACAGAUGGGCCCGCGGUGCAUUAGCUAGUUGGUGGGGUAAUGGCCCACCAAGGCGACGAUGCAUAGCCGACCUGAGAGGGUGAUCGGCCACACUGGGACUGAGACACGGCCCAGACUCCUACGGGAGGCAGCAGUAGGGAAUCUUCCGCAAUGGACGAAAGUCUGACGGAGCAACGCCGCGUGAGCGAUGAAGGCCUUCGGGUCGUAAAGCUCUGUUGUUAGGGAAGAACAAGUACGAGAGUAACUGCUCGUACCUUGACGGUACCUAACCAGAAAGCCCCGGCUAACUACGUGCCAGCAGCCGCGGUAAUACGUAGGGGGCAAGCGUUGUCCGGAAUUAUUGGGCGUAAAGGGCUCGUAGGCGGUUUCUUAAGUCUGAUGUGAAAGCCCACAGCUCAACUGUGGAGGGUCAUUGGAAACUGGGGAACUUGAGUGCAGAAGAGGAGAGUGGAAUUCCACGUGUAGCGGUGAAAUGCGUAGAUAUGUGGAGGAACACCAGUGGCGAAGGCGACUCUCUGGUCUGUAACUGACGCUGAGGAGCGAAAGCGUGGGGAGCAACAGGAUUAGAUACCCUGGUAGUCCACGCCGUAAACGAUGAGUGCUAGGUG
rnacentral:rRNA from 1 species